GAUGAAGAACGUAGCGAAAUGCGAUAAGUAAUGUGAAUUGCAGAAUUCAGUGAAUCAUCGAAUCUUUGAACGCACAUUGCGCCCGCCAGUAUUCUGGCGGGCAUGCCUGUCUGAGCGUCAUUUCAACCCUCAUGCCCCUAGGGCGUGGUGUUGGGGAUCGGCCAAAGCCCGCGAGGGACGGCCGGCCCCUAAAUCUAGUGGCGGACCCGUCGUGGCCUCCUCUGCGAAGUAGUGAUAUUCCGCAUCGGAGAGCGAUGAGCCCCUGCCGUUAAACCCCCAACUUUCCAAGGUUGACCUCAGAUCAGGUAGGAAUACCCGCUGAACUUAAGCAUAUCAAUAGCGAGGA
rnacentral:misc_RNA from 1 species